rnacentral:rRNA from 1 species
GACGAACGCUGGCGGCGUGCCUAAUACAUGCAAGUAGAACGCUGAAGGAGGAGCUUGCUUCUCUGGAUGAGUUGCGAACGGGUGAGUAACGCGUAGGUAACCUGCCUGGUAGCGGGGGAUAACUAUUGGAAACGAUAGCUAAUACCGCAUAAGAGUAGAUGUUGCAUGACAUUUGCUUAAAAGGUGCAAUUGCAUCACUACCAGAUGGACCUGCGUUGUAUUAGCUAGUUGGUGGGGUAACGGCUCACCAAGGCGACGAUACAUAGCCGACCUGAGAGGGUGAUCGGCCACACUGGGACUGAGACACGGCCCAGACUCCUACGGGAGGCAGCAGUAGGGAAUCUUCGGCAAUGGACGGAAGUCUGACCGAGCAACGCCGCGUGAGUGAAGAAGGUUUUCGGAUCGUAAAGCUCUGUUGUAAGAGAAGAACGAGUGUGAGAGUGGAAAGUUCACACUGUGACGGUAUCUUACCAGAAAGGGACGGCUAACUACGUGCCAGCAGCCGCGGUAAUACGUAGGUCCCGAGCGUUGUCCGGAUUUAUUGGGCGUAAAGCGAGCGCAGGCGGUUAGAUAAGUCUGAAGUUAAAGGCUGUGGCUUAACCAUAGUACGCUUUGGAAACUGUUUAACUUGAGUGCAAGGGGGGAGAGUGGAAUUCCAUGUGUAGCGGUGAAAUGCGUAGAUAUAUGGAGGAACACCGGUGGCGAAAGCGGCUCUCUGGCUUGUAACUGACGCUGAGGCUCGAAAGCGUGGGGGAGCAAACAGG